rnacentral:rRNA from 1 species
CCUACGGGUGGCCGCAGUGAGGAAUAUUGGUCAAUGGGCGCGAGCCUGAACCAGGCAAGUAGCGUGAAGGAUGACUGCCCUACGGGAUGUAAACUUCUGUUAUAAAGGAAUAAAGUGAGGCACGUGUGCCUUUUUGUAUGUACUUUAUGAAUAAGGAUCGGCUAAAUCCGUGCCCGCAGCCUCGGUAAUACGGAGGAUCCGAGCGUUAUCCGGAUUUAUUGGGUUUAAAGGGAGCGUAGAUGGGUUGUUAAGUCAGUUGUGAAAGUUUGCGGCUCAACCGUAAAAUUGCAAUUGUUACUGGCAGUCUUGAGUACAGUUGAGGUAGGCGGAAUUCGUGGUGUAGCGGUGAAAUGCUUAGAUAUCACGAAGAACUCCGAUUGCGAAGGCAGCUUACUAAACUGCCACUGACAUUGAUGCUCGAAAGUGUGGGUAUCAAACAGGAUUAGAUACCCGAGUAGUC